rnacentral:lncRNA from 1 species
CUCACACAGCAUCGGAAACACUGGCUUGACUCUAUAGCCUUAGUUUCAAAUGCCCCCUAAGAGGCUCUACAAAAUGGUGUCAGCAAACUAUGUGAAAGUCAUCAAGAACAAACAAACUAAAUUUCAUGCCUCUUGGUUUAAGGCUACCUGUUUAAGAAGGCAGCAGAUCUGAUUCAGCUGUGUACCAUUCUUGAGGUUCUCUACAACCCUCAAACAUCCACGUACAGGGUCGCAGUCUCUCUGCUGGUGCAGAGCACUUGGCAAAAGAUAGCUUCCACUGAGUGCUCCAUGCUCUCCCACAAGCCCUCCUGGAACCAGAGAACUUGGCAAGAUUAAGGAUGUUGUUGAAAAAGGAUGUUCUGAGCCAAACUUGUCCAGUGAGAUAGUGGCCGGAAGGAAACUAGUAAACUAAACUUGGCACAUUGAUGCCUCUCAUUGGCACACCUAUGAGCAUCCACAGAGGAAAGAUUGCUAUAAAACUUAGUAAAUAAAAUGGAAACAUUUUAUCUCAUAAAGAGGGAGGGAGCACCAUGGAACAGUUGAACAGCCACCAUGUUGUGAUGAUCCUCAAACAGCCCUGUGGAGAGGCCAAUGCAUGAAGAGGCCAUGUGGAAAGGAACAAACUUGCCAGCCGGAUGAGUGAGCCACCUUGAAAGCAGAUCCUCCUGCCUCAGUCAAAACUUCAGAUGAUUCCUGGCCCCAAUCUCAAAGUCUUUCAGCUGAGACCUCAGAUAACGUGAAGAAACGAACCAUCUCUGCUGUGCCCUAUUUGAAUAUCUGACCCACAGAAACCAUGAAAUAAUAAAUUGUUCUUUCAAACGACUAAGUUUUGGGAUGAUUUAUUAUGCAGCAAUAGAUAAUUAAUACAGAGGAGUCAGAAAGGCAAGAGAGAAAUUAAGAGAGUUUGAUAAGAUAAUUUAAAUUAAAAAAUCCCAACUCCUUCAAUUGUUACUACUGAUGGAUAUACAAUGACUCCCUGUAUUUUU